UUUUUAUUUUUGUUCAAGUGAUCAGAAAUACGGUUUUGAAUGUUGAGUAAUGUAAGUAGUUUAAACUAGAUGACAUUGAACCGUGUCUUUCUGGACCGGUGUUACACGUGUGGAUUAUUUCCACGCACGCGGGUUUAUCGUUGGUUUUAGUUCGAUAAAUAGACCGGUUCCCUUCAGGUGUUAUUUUUAGUUUAAGAAGUAUUCUAGUGUUAUUUUAAUUUUAACGUGGGGUGUACUACAUUACCGGGGUAGCUAAAGUAGAUAGCAUUGCUAACUAGGAAUCUGCGUCAGUGAUUCAUUACAAACUAAACGGACAUCGUUUGAAUGACGGUAAAUGUGGAUGCACUCGGUUAUUUUAAUUUUAGUACAUUUUGAUAAACUAUUAUCUAGAUGACUUAUAACUGGCAUCAUACCCGUGUUGAAUAUUUAUUAUUAUAUUUAUUAUAUAAAUAUAUAUUUUUAGCAACGUUAAGUCACUUGCUUUCAGUCUUUAGUUUAAAGCUGCAGACACACCGUUCAGAUCACCUCCUAGUGACAUGUUGAGGUGUGUGUGUGUGUGUGUGUGUAUAGAAAUGCCCUUUGACUCGCACAAACUCGCUUCAAACGUUAAAUGUGCAUCGUCAUGGCCCGUCUCUGCUGCUCCAGUUUUAACCCGCAGUACAAUAGGGACAUUGACCUUGAAUGAAGACGGGGCAGAGGGUUCGCCUCCCAUUGCACAACUACUCUGUAUUAAACGGUAUUAAACUAUUGUGCAAAACGGGGCAAUAUUUCAGACAAAUCGAUUUUAUUUGAUUUUUCUGAGGUUUAUUGCCACACCAUAUAGAAGCAGUUCUUUCUCAACAUGACCUUUGGAAAGUGUCUGUGGUGGAGAAGAAAGGGGCACUGUACUAAUGUAGUUUGUCCCAAACUGCACCCUAUUCCCUAUGUAGUCUAGUGCACAACUUUUGGGCACAUUUAUUUAUUUCAAGUUGUGGCAGCCAAGUCACCCACAGGCUAACAGUUGGAGGAACCAUAAAGAAGGCCUACUUGGCUCCUGAGUUUAUAACCCGGACUAUUUCCUUGUACAACUUCCUCCUUACUGUCAUGAAUUCACGUGUUGUGCACAAGGCUGCUCUUUCUUUAAAAAAAGAGGCAACAUGGCUCUUGAUCCAGGAGAGACUUGAUUUGUCUUUGUUGUAUCAAAGAAGCUUGAUUUAGCCACUUAGCUACUAGCAAGUUAGCAAACCAAAUGCUUAGCUGGAGCCCAGAGCUGGAUAUCAUUUAUUUAACACAUUUUAGAGUUACCUAUAAACAGUGGCAUAGCACCUACAAAUAAUGUGUGUAUAUAUAAUACAAAAUACAUUAUUAAAUCAUAAGUUAUGCUUAGUUAAAGUUUCAAGAAAACAAUGUUUAAAUAUCCCAGUAUAUCGCCCAAGACUUAAUACAUUUCCCAGGAAAGGGAACACGUUUGAAUCACGGAGACCUACUGGUUAUUGAUAACUUCCUGGUUUUCAGUCAGUUGCUCACAGAGAAACCUAAUAACCUUCCCUGGUUGAUCUGGUUUAUUUCAGUCUAUCAUAACAAGCAGGGGUAUUUCAGGCCUGGUCAUAACUCACUAGACUAACCCAUUCUCAUACUGUAGGAUCAUGGUGGCUGAAGACCUGAUACUUACUACAGCUCUUUGGAUUGUGUGAGCUGAAAAUCAAAACUGCUUUAGACCUACCCUAAACGCUCAAAUUAUGAUAUAUAUAUUUUUAAAUUUAAAGGGGUGAUAAUAAAUGGGAACUUUGUCUAAACUUGUUAAUUUCAGCAGGUUUCAGUCACUGGAAGAUCUGCUUGGAGUGAUCUCCUGGCAUCAGACAAGGCCUCCUGCGGGGCUGGAAUUUAAAAAACAAUUUAAGACAAACUGGCAACCGCACAACUACAACAGCAGACAGUGGAUUGUGAGGUAGAACACGGUGCCUUACAUGAAACAACUAAUUGUCUCAACCUGUUCAUCGGUGGAUAUGGAGCAGAGAACCUGAUAUCUAGAACAAGAAACUAAUGGAUAUGGAGGAGAGAACCUGAUAUCUAGAACAAGAAACUAAUGGAUAUGGAGCAGAGAACCUGAUAUCUAGAACAAGAAACUAAUGGAUAUGGAGCAGAGAGAACCCGAUAUCUAGAACAAGAAACUAAUGGAUAUGGAGCAGAGAACCUGAUAUCUAGAACAAGAAACUAAUGGAUAUGGAGGAGAGAACCCGAUAUCUAGAACAAGAAACUAAUGGAUAUGGAGCAGAGAGAACCCGAUAUCUAGAACAAGAAACUAAUGGAUAUGGAGCAGAGAGAACCUGAUAUCUAGAACAAGAAACUAAUGGAUAUGGAGCAGAGAACCCGAUAUCUAGAACAAGAAACGAAUGGAUAUGGAGUAGAGAACCCGAUAUCUAGAACAAGAAACGAAUGGAUAUGGAGCAGAGAGAACCCGAUAUCUAGAACAAGAAACGAAUGGAUAUGGAGCAGAGAACCUGAUAUCUAGAACAAGAAACGAAUGGAUAUGGAGCAGAGAGAACCCGAUAUCUAGAACAAGAAACGAAUGGAUAUGGAGCAGAGAACCUGAUAUCUAGAACAAGAAACUAAUGGAUAUGGAGGAGAGAACCCGAUAUCUAGAACAAGAAACUAAUGGAUAUGGAGCAGAGAGAACCCGAUAUCUAGAACAAGAAACGAAUGGAUAUGGAGUAGAGAGAACCGAUAUCUAGAACAAGAAACGAAUGGAUAUGGAGUAGAGAGAACCCGAUAUCUAGAACAAGAAACGAAUGGAUAUGGAGCAGAGAACCCGAUAUCUAGAACAAGAAACGAAUGGAUAUGGAGCAGAGAGAACCUGAUAUCUAGAACAAGAAACUAAUGGAUAUGGAGGAGAGAACCUGAUAUCUAGAACAAGAAACGAAUGGAUAUGGAGCAGAGAGAACCUUAUAUCUAGAACAAGAAAUUAAUGGAUAUGGAGGAGAGAACCUGAUAUCUAGAACAAGAAACGAAUGGAUAUGGAGCAGAGAGAACCCGAUAUCUAGAACAAGAAACUAAUGGAUAUGGAGCAGAGAGAACCAUGUUCACGUUCACCAACAAACACCCAGUGCUGCAGAAGACUGAGGGAGCCUGGCAGAAAUGAAUAGACAGUAGAUGCUUAAGUGAAGUCUCGUGAUUCCAAUCGCUUUUACCUAAUAGGCUUCUACAACAUACAUGCCAGUGGUAGGCCCAUUCCAAAGCCCAUGUUU